UCCCCAAGUCUGUGACACAGCCAUUAUAGUUGAGAACAUUCAGGUCUUUGACUUUAAAUUGAGUGAUGAGGAGAUGGCAACCAUCCUCAGCUUCAACAGAAACUGGAGGGCCUGCAACAUGUUGCAAUGCUCUCGUUUGGAGGACUAUCCCUUUGAUGCAGAAUAUUGAGGUUGAAUCUCCUG